rnacentral:ncRNA from 1 species
AAUUUCUUUAUUGAACAGACUGGGUUAAUCUGAGGUCGGGUCGAAAGACAGUGAGCGUAUCACGGGACAAUA